rnacentral:tRNA from 1 species
AGCAGUGUGGCCUAGUGGGUACAGCACAGGCCUGGGGGCCAGAGGACCUGGGUUCUAAUCCCAACCCUGCUA